CUCGCUACUUGCAUGUACCGUCAUUAAGAUUGUUCAUCUGAAAGUUCAUUCUUCAAAUAUUUUUAUUUUUAAAUAAAAAUAUGAUUACUCGGUUUUUACCUGGAUUCUCAUUUACACAAAUAUAAAGAAAUUGUCGUACAUAUUAUCACAAAACAAACAGUAAAAAAAUUUACUAUUUCAAUGGACAAUGGAUAGAUAUCUAACCAAUUUUAAAGGCUGUUCGACGACAUUGGCUCAAUCUGGCAAAUCGUUUG